CAGAUUUUUAACUUUUCAUUUCAACUUUUGGUUGAAAGUCACCUCAACUACUUUAACUAAAUAUUCACCUUUCAUAUUUUGAUAUUUCUUGUUAUUUUGUUAUUUUAGAUGGCUGUUCUAACUUACUAUCCCAAAAGAGAGUUUAAAAACAAUUUAUAAAAAGCACUGGCCUAAUUAAUAUAUGCUAUGUGUGCAUGAUAAUGAUAUGUGGUCCUAAAUACGCAUUUGGCAGGCACGGUUUAUGUUCUAGUCAAGUCCAAAUAGUUUGAUGUUAAAGAUCCAGUUAACCAACCUACUGACACUAUGAAGUCUACAUAAUGUGAGAUGUGAUUAUAUGUUCAGAUUUAACACUGCCAGUUGCAGCUGGAAUGAAAUGUAAUUUCAAAUUAGUAUGAUCAUAAUUACAGAUACAAGACUCUAAGCAAUUAAAGAAGUACACUUAUGUCAAGUAAAUUUAUUUCAAGUAAAAACAAAUUCAAAAUCAAUUUUACAGCGUAUUUGUGAACCACUGGAAACUGAUAAAAUUGUAAGCCAAAAGUUGUGGUUUUAUACUUAUAUGCAUCUUAUUUUAUGUUCCUGUGCGAUUUUAAUAAUGGGGCUUCAACCGUCCUCUAGGUGUCACCUUUCUCUUACUAUGAAACAGGUGAAUUCUGGUAAACUGGGAAUAUUUUUUAUUUAUUUAUUUAUUUAUUUUGCAUUUGAGAUGACUGGGAAAAAUGUCGCAAUUAACUUUAAUUUAUUCCAUGUCUAUUGUUUUUAAGUUUCUAUUACUUAUUUCUAGCUCUCUACAAGCUAAUCUGAAUUGUAUGGUUUUUUAUUAGCUGGACCAGGGUUUAGCUGUCACAGACUGUGAUUGUCUAAACUGAAUUAAAAUGGAAUGUACUGAAUUAUACAUUCUUUACGGUCUACUUUUAAGUUGAACUUUUGAAAUAAAGUCUUGCAGGUUAUAAAACUGUCUAAAAUGUGAUAAUGGCAAUUUUAAAACUAAAAUAGCAGUCGAGGUCUAUUUCAGCAUUCCUUUCAUCUCAAGACAGUUGCACGGCAGAUAGUCACUCACUCAACAGCUGUUAUAGAAAAACCCAUAGUUGUGAAAUUUAAUGGCAGACUAAAACAGUGUUAUAAGCUAAAUUUUCAUUAUUUGUAUAUUCACAAUCUGUUAAAAGAGUUCAAUAUGUGUCGAUAUUCCUGAAUGGCAUAUGGCACCAUAAUUACACACAUUAUUUUAGGCCUAAAAGAUUUUGGUUAAAAUCCAAAAUGUUACAAACAUCCAAAAAUCCAAAACCAAUCUGAUACAGCCAAACUGUAGCAAAAUACAUAAAUUAAUUAACGGACAAAAUUGCCAACAAUAUGAUCAGGAUUUGUAGCUACAACCUGAAAGAGCUUCAUUUUGCGAUAAUGACCGACGACUGUACACUUCAUAGUAAGCUAUUAGGUGUUACAUUUGUAUUUUACAUUACAUUAUACAUUACAUGUGUAAUUGUGUGUAGCUUUUUUCAUACUCUUCGUAAUGAUUCUGUGCAUUAUAUGAAUCAUAUUUAAAAGACUGAACUGCAACAAAAUGUGUAAGUAGUACAUAAGUUUAGGAGUUCAGAAGUGCUGAACUAAACUGAACUUUUCGUCAGCGCUAGAGUUUGUCUUACUUAAAAGAAAAUAUUGUGAAAAUACUGUCAAACAUGGAUAUUUCAAUUUGUCUUGUUGAGGUAGCUAAUAUUAAAACAUUAUUAAACAUAGUAAAUUAAAUAAUUUGUGUUGGCAGGGUUUCAGAAAUCUUCAUGUUUACCUAAAGACUUACCAAAAUACGUGUAAUGUGAUUACACAAAUAUGUGGACCAUUAUAAGCACUAUGUCAUUAUAAGGAUUACCAUUAGUGCUCUUUUUUUGGAGACUUGCGCACAGAUUCUAAGCGCACAAAACAGGAUUACACUGACAACCAUAAUACCAUUAACACUGUGAACUCUAUGGGUCAUUCUUCUUAUGCAGUAUUUUUUAUAACUCUGUAUAAUAAACAACUAAAUUAAUUAAUGAAUAACUAAAUAAACAAAUUAAUUAAUUUCCAUAAAAGGGAGUGGCAGACUUUCUAAAUAUUUUCUGGGUUACUCAAACACGUAAGGAAACAACCCAAAAUCCAAGAUACAGGGUACACCUUUGGAGGUGCUGAAUGACAAAUCUUACAGUACUUUAAUAUAGGCUAGUGAAAAUAAAAUUUCAGUCAUCCUAGAAAUAGGCCUAUGUACACCCCCAGAAAACAAAAACAGUAAGAAAGAAUGGCGAAUAAAUUAUAUUUAGGCCUAGGUGAAGUUCUGUGAGCAUGCUACAGCUGUCUCUCUUCCUCCUCCUCGCCUUUUAGUUUUUCCGACCCGCCCAAGUGCCUGUGCCUUAUAACAUAUGAAUGCUGCGAAGAUGAUGUACAGUCAGCAAUUUAACAAUCUUAAACUGGCCGAAGAUGAUUUUGAAUAAUAACACGGUGGAGCGCAGAGUUGUGUGUGUUAGAUUAACAACAAAAUCAACACUUCACUAUAAUACACAAUCACAGGGCGCACAAGCAAUUAAAACCAUAUCUAUCAAAUCUACCCCCACCCACCCCAAAAAACGUCUUUUUAAAAUAUUUGUCACAUAGGCGGCACUUUAUUUAUGUAGUACCCUAUGUAUGUAUUUAUUUAUUUAUUUUCAAAUGAUAAUGACAACUUUCUAAUGACACUUGCAUGACAAUGAAAAUCACAAGCAUGUAAAAACUUGUUUGGAACUGUGUUUUGGAAGAGGUUCAUCACCUAUGGACCUGAAAUCAUUCCACGGAUUGAUUUUGGAAACUGGAGAGGUCCGUUUGGUAAGCAAUUCAUGAUGUGACGUAAUUUGGGUUAGCUACGUAACAUAAAUUUACAAAAGUUUGUAUGAUCUUUAUCAGUAAAACGGAGCCUGAGGUUUUGCCAUUUAAAAUAUAUGUAUUUAAUUCCUGUAUAGGCUUAAAUAAGAUUAUCAUGUCAGUCUUUCAAAUAAAAAGCAGGUAAACUGCCACAAGCAGUUGCGUCGUCAACUAUGUUUCAUUUUGUGUACUUUUCAGGGUUGAGGAUAAGAAUAAAGAAAAAUGUGCGAUAAGUGGUCUUGGCACACAGAGGGCGCUCUCAUCAUUGCAUUACGGCAGUGAUGCUGGCAAAUGUGCAACAUAAUUAAUUUAUGUACAAUAUUUGAUCACAGCAUAUUUUUAAAUCAUCUUGUAUACAGUCACGCUAAAUGUAUAUUGUUAAGCUGAUCGACAAGAGGGUCGAAUAAAGAUGAAAUUGUUUCUACGUCAGUUGAAAAUAUAGGCAAUGUAAGCGAUGCAAAAUCUAAUUAUUUCUUUGCAAAACCUAAUUAGGCAUUAAAAAAGGUUAACGCCAGCGCCUGAAACCGUUUUUGUUUAAUAAUCCCAUUACUGACGGCUCAUCAUGUAUAAAAUGGCGCAGAAGGACACAAACUUUCCACUUGUUAAAGUGAAUCUCCCAGAAAAAGACAAGACAAACUCUACAUUAGCCCACUGUUAGGAUAUGACAGGAUACCAAACGGAAAGGCGUAUCACGGCACUAGAUGGUUGAAGCCUGUCUGUGCUCUGAGCUCGCCCUCACAGGCGGAUGAUUGAUGAGGGAUGGGGGCAAGGCCGAGCACGCAGAGCAUAAAGACUCAUACACGGCUCAAUAAAGCCGGGCCUGAGCGGGGACCGGGCGCGCUCAAUAGACGUUGGCUCGAGUAGAUUGAGGCCAACGGCAGAGAGGAAGGUGCUCUGUUGUCCCAUAAUCCAGUUAUCCAUUGAGCCACCAGCCGUCUGCAGCACGAUAGAGAGCAGUAGCGAAAGAUGGCCGAGGAGAGCAGAGGACAGAGAGGCUGGGCAGCCCAGAGGGUGGUGGUGGUGGGGGGGGUGUUUGGGAGAGAAGCACAGCUCGCAGCCCCUGCUGAGAAAGACAGAAUGAAAGAAAAAAUAAAUAAAUAAAGCGAGCCCAUUGCAGUCCCACAUUAACCAGGCACCCUGGAAAAAACGGCAAAAGUACAAUUUGAAAUAAAGUAGAUUUAUUCUUGUACACAAACAAAAAUAUAUGAUAAACAUAGAUUCUUAUUUAAUUUUAAGAUACAGGUUUGUUUUAUGAAAACAAUUAUUAUUAUUAUUAUUAAUAAUAACUAAGUGGAUGAUCCUGUUUUUAUGUAAAUCAUUAUCACCAACACAUUUAUUAUUAUUAUUAUUAUUAAAUAAUUAACAUAAAUGUACAAUUGCAACCUAAACCAUGGAAUGAUAAACUAAUUUAUGCUAGGACUUAAUAUUUUCACUUUCCACUGCAAUUUACAAGGGGGAGAAGUAUAUCCCAGCAGCUUAAUGUGAAUAUGUAUAGGUGUCAUCAGGAUCCAUCAUAAGAGCUCCAUUCAUGGCCUGCACACCAUGUUCUCUGCUUUUCUCCACCUCAUCAUUUACAAACACAGCAUCAGUCAAAAACACAAUUAGUAUACCCUAAACCCCUGCCAGGAGUGCCUUUCAUCCAGCCAAGGCCACAGACAAGGUAUCCUGCAGAACUGCCUUGUUCCUGGAGGCCAAAUAGACAGAGAGAGUGAUGGAGAACUAGAGGGAAUGAAGCACUUACGCUGCACUCUGAUGCCUGCUGUGACUCUCAGCAGGUUUUUCACAAUAGCGUUCAUUCUUGGUUUUAAAUUUAGUUUUUUCAGUACUUUAUCAAGAAUUCUCAAGGAUUAAUUCAGAAAGAAUUCAUAAGCUAUAUAUUGAUAGAGCUUCUUCGCAAAAACAUACCACUUCUGGGAUAUGAAACGCAAGACAGACGGGAAAGAGAGAGAGGCCUCAGCCUCAUGUGGGAGUGUCCGCAAGCAAGAGAAUAAUCACAAAGUAAUCAAAUUGCCCUGUUUGAUAAUGGACGGCGGGAAAACGAAGAGGAAUUCCAGGCAAAUUUGUGCAAAUAAAAAAAGAUUCCUCCUGACAUGAUGUGCCGGUGGAUGUUGCAACAGAGAGCAAUAGAUGGAGUUGUCUGGUGAAGUAUGAGUUGCGCUGCUGGCGGGAAUGAUGAUACAGUCAACAUGUGGGGUAAAAGAGGGGAUCUUUCACUGCCAGGUCCUACUGCUGGAACCCCCCACUCCAUGCGAGAGUCACUACUGCUGGCCCUGAAUUAAUCCAGUUACUCUGAGUUGUUUGUUUUUAAGUUAGGAGUGUGUGUAUAUGAGCAUCGUCUCUUACAUGUUUAGUAAUGUAACUACAUUCAAUAUUUACUGUAAUACUCUAAUGUGUGUGUGUGUU
ensembl:lncRNA